rnacentral:tRNA from 1 species
CCCGCGGUAGCUCAGCCUGGUAGAGCUUUCGGCUGUAGACCGAAGAGUCGCAGGCUCAAUCAAAAAAUGGGAAACCCUUUUUUGGAGUAAAUCCUGCUCGCGGGA